GUGGGGAAUAUUGGACAAUGGGCGAAAGCCUGAUCCAGCCAUGCCGCGUGAACGAUGAAGGCCUUCGGGUUGUAAAGUUCUUUAGCCGAUGAUUAUAAUGACUGUAGUCGGAAAAUAAGCCCCGGCUAACUUCGUGCCAGCAGCCGCGGUAAUACGAAGGGGGCGAGCGUUAUUCGGAAUCACUGGGCGUAAAGCGUGCGUAGGCGGUUUUGUAAGUUAGGAGUGAAAGCCCAGGGCUCAACCUUGGAAUUGCUCUUAAAACUGCAAGGCUCGAAUCUCGGAGAGGAUAGCGGAAUUUCCAGUGUAGCAGUGAAAUGCGUAGAUAUUGGAAGGAACACCAGUGGCGUAAGCGGCUAUCUGGACGAGUAUUGACGCUGAGGCACGAAAGCGUGGGGAUCAAACAGGAUUAGAUACCCGGGUAGUCC
rnacentral:rRNA from 1 species